UGGCAUCUGAACAAUUAGAACCUGUUUAAGGGCCUCCACAAGUUGCGCCAAUGGAUACAGACUGCAGAGACAAAUGCUCCAAGACCAAAUGGUGGAGCUCCCGAAUUUCUUUGGAUUUGUUGUUGUUGGAGAUGAAUGUGAUCGAGCGAAACCAUUUCCUGACCCGUCCGCAUUUGAGGAUUCUGUUUCAGGGGUGAAAGCUGGAGUAGCAGCUGGAAUGCCAGUAGUGGCAAUCACAUGCAGCAAGGUGGGAUGGGAUUACAUUUAGUUGCAGGUCCUGGUGGUUAAAGUAAAUUCACAAUGCAUGUUUCCUGUAAAAUUCGGGAAUUUGAUAAUAAUUAAGAUUCUCGUGAUGAACAGUUGAUUUAGUUCAUGUAUUUUGUUUUAAUUUUAAUUUUUUUUUUAAUACAAAACGACUUGCG